rnacentral:rRNA from 1 species
UAGGGAAUAUUAGUAAUGGGCGAAAGCCUGAACUAGCAACGCCGCGUGUGCGAAGAAGGCCUUCGGGUUGUAAAGCACUUUUUGAGAGGAUGAGGAAGGACGGUACUCUCAGAAUAAGUCUCGGCUAACUACGUGCCAGCAGCCGCGGUAACACGUAGGAGGCGAACGUUAUCCGGAUUUACUGGGCGUAAAGCGCGUGUAGGUGGUUUGGUAAGUAGGGCGUGAAAGCUCCUGGCUCAACUGGGAGAGGCCGUUCUAAACUGCCGAACUAGAGGAUGGUAGAGGGAGGUGGAAUUCCGGGUGUAGCGGUGGAAUGCGCAGAUAUCCGGAGGAACACCAGUGGCGAAAGCGGCCUCCUGGACCAUUCCUGACACUCAGACGCGAAAGCUAGGGUAGCA